UACAGAGGUCUCAAGCGUUGUUCGGAUUCAUUGGGCGUAAAGGGUGCGUAGGUGGCGGGGCAAGUCUGGUGUGAAAUCCCGGGGCUCAACCCUGGAACUGCACUGGAUACUGCUUUGCUAGAGUACUGGAGAGGGAACUGGAAUUUACGGUGCAGCAGUGAAAUGCGUAGAUAUCGUAAGGAAGACCAGUGGCGAAGGCGAGUUCCUGGACAGUUACUGACACUGAGGCACGAAGGCCAGGGGAGCAAACGGG
rnacentral:rRNA from 1 species